rnacentral:tRNA from 1 species
UCAUAUUUAGGUUAAAAAAACCAUUAACUUGUGGUGUUGAAAAUACAUUUUUGUAAUGUGAU